rnacentral:rRNA from 1 species
GUCCUUCUUGAAUUUAUAAAAGGUCGAGCCUGCUCACUGAAAAUUUAAAGAGCUGCAGUAUUUUAACUGUACUAAGGUAGCAUAAUAAAUUGGCCUUUAAUUAAGGUCUUGAAUGAAAGGCCUGACGUUUACAACCUAUUCACUUGUUUAUGUAAAUUUAAUUUUUUGUGAAAAUUCAAAAAUAUUUUUAAAAGACGAUAAGACCCUAUAAAAUUUAACUGUUUAAAUAGUUUUAGUUAAAUGGAAAUACAGUUUAGUUGGGGAGACUUUUUCAAAAAUCUAUCUGUUAAAAUUUAGUCCACUUAUAAGUGUUUUUAUUGACCCUACAUAUAGCAAAUAAAUUUAAUUACUUUAGGGAUAACAGCGUAAUUUUUUUUAGAGUUCUAAUCGAAGAAAAAGUUUGCGACCUCGAUGUUGAAUUAAGAAUCCUUUUUAAUGCAGCAGUUAAAAAAGG